AGUCAUCGUCGCGUUUUCAACACAACUAGUACAUUCAACAGAAGGAAUUAUAUUUGAAAUCUAUAAAACAACAACAUUUGCUACAGUGGUGUGUGUACAGUUUUUUGUGUUCUUUUUGCAGAUGCUUUCAACUACUUUGACAAUCAAAUACUUAAUUUCUUGCAUGAGCCGCCAUCGCGCAUCGAAUUCGGCAACAAUGCCGGCAGCAUUGUCGAUUGCAUAGCGCACGGCAAUUCGUCGCCGAAUGUCGAAUGGCUAGACAAGGACAAUAAUCCCAUCAUCUCGAUAUCAAGGGUUCGUCAUGUAUUCGCCAACGGCACACUUUAUUUCUUUCGAGGCAGAAGAGUGCCUACAAGAUCGUCAGUAUGUCAGCAAUGUCAGCAAUGUUAUGAGUACAAUAAUUUCUCGUGAUCUC